UACGGGGGGGGCAAGCGUUGUUCGGAAUUACUGGGCGUAAAGGGCUCGUAGGUGGCCAACUAAGUCAGACGUGAAAUCCCUCGGCUUAACCGGGGAACUGCGUCUGAUACUGGAUGGCUUGAGUUUGGGAGAGGGACGCGGAAUUCCAGGUGUAGCGGUGAAAUGCGUAGAUAUCUGGAGGAACACCGGUGGCGAAGGCGACCACCUGGACUGAUACUGACACUGAGGUGCGAAAGCGUGGGGAGCAAACAGG
rnacentral:rRNA from 1 species